rnacentral:rRNA from 1 species
UACGUAGGGUGCAAGCGUUGUCCGGAAUUAUUGGGCGUAAAGAGCUCGUAGGUGGCCUGUCGCGUCGGCUGUGAAAACUCGGGGCUCAACUCCGAGCUUGCAGUCGAUACGGGCAGGCUAGAGUUCGGCAGGGGAGACUGGAAUUCCUGGUGUAGCGGUGAAAUGCGCAGAUAUCAGGAAGAACACCGAUGGCGAAGGCAGGUCACUGGGCCGCAACUGACGCUGAGGAGCGAAAGCAUGGGGAGCGAACAGG